rnacentral:rRNA from 1 species
GUGUCUUCGAGUCGUUGAUUUCACACUGCCGAGAAAAGCCUCUAGAUAGAAAAUAGGUGCCCGUACCGCAAACCGACACAGGUAGUCAAGAUGAGAAUUCUAAGGUGAGCGAGCGAACUCUCGUUAAGGAACUCGGCAAAAUGACCCCGUAACUUCGGGAGAAGGGGUGCUCUUUAGGGUUAACGCCCAGAAGAGCCGCAGUGAAUAGGCCCAAGCGACUGUUUAUCAAAAACACAGGUCUCUGCUAAACCGUAAGGUGAUGUAUAGGGGCUGACGCCUGCCCGGUGCUGGAAGGUUAAGAGGAGUGGUUAGCUUCUGCGAAGCUACGAAUCGAAGCCCCAGUAAACGGCGGCCGUAACUAUAACGGUCCUAAGGUAGCGAAAUUCCUUGUCGGGUAAGUUCCGACCCGCACGAAAGGCGUAACGAUUUGGGCACUGUCUCAACGAGAGACUCGGUGA